rnacentral:rRNA from 1 species
CCUGGACGUCAGGAUAAAACGACUCGCGGCGCACAUAAGAACAAUGCCAAAGUCGAACGAACUUAACCCUUUACGUUUUACGAUUGGGUAGCGGUUAGUGGCGGGACUGGUGAGUAACACGUAAGCAACCUGCCUAUUAGAGGGGAAGUAACAGUGAGAAAUCAUUGCUAAUACCGCAUAUGCUCACAGUAUCACAUGAUACAGUGAGGAAAGGAGCAAUCCACUAAUAGAUGGGCUUGCGUCUGAUUAGCUAGUUGGUGGGGUAACGGCCUACCAAGGCGACGAUCAGUAGCCGGACUGAGAGGUUGAACGGCCACAUUGGGACUGAGAUACGGCCCAGACUCCUACGGGAGGCAGCAGUCGGGAAUAUUGCGCAAUGGAGGAAACUCUGACGCAGUGACGCCGCGUAUAGGAAGAAGGUUUUCGGAUUGUAAACUAUUGUCGUUAGGGAAGAUAAAAGACAGUACCUAAGGAGGGAGCUCCGGCUAACUAUGUG